rnacentral:rRNA from 1 species
GCCUACGGGAGGCAGCAGUGGGGAAUAUUGGGCAAUGGGCGCAAGCCUGACCCAGCAACGCCGCGUGAGUGAAGAAGUAUUUCGGUAUGUAAAGCUCUAUCAGCAGGGAAGAAAAAAGACGGUACCUGACUAAGAAGCCCCGGCUAACUACGUGCCAGCAGCCGCGGUAAUACGUAGGGGGCAAGCGUUAUCCGGAUUUACUGGGUGUAAAGGGAGCGUAGACGGCGCGGCAAGUCUGAAGUGAAAGGCAGGGGCUUAACCCCUGAACUGCUUUGGAAACUGCCAUGCUAGAGUGCUGGAGAGGG